AUGCUUUCUUUUUUCAUUCUGUUCCUUUCUUCCUGUGUGCAGAGAGUGAAGGAAGAUCUACGUGUCCAGGUCGGACCUCCUUGGGGCUGCAGAGAGGUACCCAGUCUUUUCAACAUUUCCAGCUCCAAGUGGACACAUCGAGGAGUCAUCUCACCUUCUUCGCGUCUCUUCCUCACAUUGUCCAGCGGAUUCAGUCCCCCAGCAGCCACCCGGCAUGUAUCUUCAGUACCCUGUUAUUUCUCUUCGUUUUCUCCCUUCAUCGAGCCCAACCUGGAUGAAGCCCUAUGAUUUCUCAGAUGCUGUCCUAGCCCCUCCAUAGCACGAGACCCGGGCACUCCAAACGGGCCACAUUCCUCGAGAACAGGACUUACUCCCCUUGGGACCGAGCCCCAUACCUGGCAGGAACUCACAUUGUGGUUUGGAGUCCACUUAAAAGUAAACCUUGAAACUGGACCUUAAGUGCGGGAGGCAAUCUCACAAGAAGCAGCUGAGCAGGAAGAGGGAAAAAAAGCCUCCACCGCAAGUAGGUCACUCCUACGGGCACCCAGGACUCGGUUGCACCAGGGACCGUCUGAGGAGCCAUCUGGAACAUUCCUCAGGGAAGCUGGGGUCUUUAUCCCGUACCUCCCAUGGGUCUUUGUUUAAAGGCUGUCCUCUACCUUCUGGACGGCCCGCUUGCAGACUGAACAAACCCCUGCAGCCUAAGAGGAAGCCCCAGCCUGUCAGGAGGAGCAGCGUGGGUUUGAGAUGCUAGCCACUGGAGUUCAUCUGCCACCGCGGCAGGCAGACCAGGGUGCAUCUGCCAUGGCAAAGAUGGCAGGACCUUUUGUUGAAUGGAUGAAUUUUUUUUAAGAAGAUUGCGAUGGACUGUGGACUGGAGAGGCUGGAGUUGGGGUGAUUUCUUAAUCAGCGAUUUUAUUUAAUAUUUUUAUGUGUUUAUAAUUUAGAGUGAAGAAGCAUAUCUAGCAUAGGGUGUCACUCAUCGAAUUGGCAGGGAAUAUAGAAUUCGAAAGCUUUUUGAGAACCUGGAGUCUGUCUAGUUUCUCUUCCUCCAAUUAUAGAAGCUACAGUUAUUGUUUCCUCACACGCUUGUGAACACAAAUGCUAAGAGCUUGUCGUCACCUUGUGCUUGGAAAACUCACUGGUUUAGGAGUUAUUCUCAUUAAAUAUUAAAUCUUA